rnacentral:rRNA from 1 species
UACGAGGGGGGCAAAUGUUGUUCGGAAUCACUGGGCGUAAAGGGAGCGUAGGCGGGCUCUUAAGUUAGGUGUUUAAUCCCGGGGCCCAACCCCGGACAGGCACCUAAAACUGGGAGUCUUGAAUAGUGGAGAGGUCAGCGGAAUUGGGGGUGUAGCGGUGGAAUGCGUAGAGAUCCCCAAGAACACCAGUUGCGAAGGCGGCCGACUGGACACAUAUUGACGCUGAGGCUCGAAAGCAUGGGGAGCAAACAGG